GGAGAGGUCGCAUAGAGGCCUAUUGCACUCGCUUGGAAAGCGAGAGAGUUUACGCUCACGAGGGUUCGAAUCCCUCCCUCUCCGCCA
rnacentral:tRNA from 1 species